CCAAAGGCCCUUUUCAGGGCCACCCACUAGAUCUCUUAAGGGCUGU
rfam:Ictidomys tridecemlineatus contig091293, whole genome shotgun sequence.